rnacentral:rRNA from 1 species
GAUGAACGCUGGCGGCGUGCCUAAUACAUGCAAGUCGAGCGAACGGACGAGAAGCUUGCUUCUCUGAUGUUAGCGGCGGACGGGUGAGUAACACGUGGAUAACCUACCUAUAAGACUGGGAUAACUUCGGGAAACCGGAGCUAAUACCGGAUAAUAUUUUGAACCGCAUGGUUCAAAAGUGAAAGACGGUCUUGCUGUCACUUAUAGAUGGAUCCGCGCUGCAUUAGCUAGUUGGUAAGGUAACGGCUUACCAAGGCAACGAUGCAUAGCCGACCUGAGAGGGUGAUCGGCCACACUGGAACUGAGACACGGUCCAGACUCCUAAGGGAGGCAGCAGUAGGGAAUCUUCCGCAAUGGGCGAAAGCCUGACGGAGCAACGGCGCGUGAGUGAUGAAGGUCUUCGGAUCGUAAAACUCUGUUAUUAGGGAAGAACAUAUGUGUAAGUAACUGUGCACAUCUUGACGGUACCUAAUCAGAAAGCCACGGCUAACUACGUG